rfam:Sugiyamaella lignohabitans strain CBS 10342 chromosome B, complete sequence.
GACGCGUUAGCUCAGUUGGUAGAGCGUCGGAUUCCAAAUCCGAAGGUCAUUGGUUCGAGUCCUGUACGUGUCA